CAGGCCUAACACAUGCAAGUCGAACGGCAGCACAGUAAGAGCUUGCUCUUAUGGGUGGCGAGUGGCGGACGGGUGAGGAAUACAUCGGAAUCUACUUUUUCGUGGGGGAUAACGUAGGGAAACUUACGCUAAUACCGCAUACGACCUACGGGUGAAAGCAGGGGAUCUUCGGACCUUGCGCGAUUGAAUGAGCCGAUGUCGGAUUAGCUAGUUGGCGGGGUAAAGGCCCACCAAGGCGACGAUCCGUAGCUGGUCUGAGAGGAUGAUCAGCCACACUGGAACUGAGACACGGUCCAGACUCCUACGGGAGGCAGCAGUGGGGAAUAUUGGACAAUGGGCGCAAGCCUGAUCCAGCCAUACCGCGUGGGUGAAGAAGGCCUUCGGGUUGUAAAGCCCUUUUGUUGGGAAAGAAAUCCAGCCGGCUAAUACCUGGUUGGGAUGACGGUACCCAAAGAAUAAGCACCGGCUAACUUCGUGCCAGCAGCCGCGGUAAU
rnacentral:rRNA from 1 species